UGUGAAGUCAGAAUCUCUUUGUUCAUAUUACAUCACUGAAGCCUCUAGGUCUUGAGUCAUAAUUAUAUUUAGAGGGUGGCACACUUCUUUUUAGUCUAAUAUUAGUAUUCAAGCCUGGACUCAGUGGAAGGUCACCCUAGCAAAGAUGAAGUCAGGCUCUAAGGCUGGAAAAGAAUGCAGGCUUCACUCUGCCUUCCUGUGCUUUUGGUAACACAAAUGCCCGUUUCGAUGGGAGAACAUGCCUGGCAAAAGACCAACUGGGUUAAAGUGUGUGGCUGGCUUACAAGGGAAGAACAAACUGGGAACUUCAGAAGAUGCUGAGGAAGUGAGGUUGUAUCUUAUGUGUGUGUUUGGAAAGAUGGAAGGGAAUGUCUGAAGUUGGCAUUCUUGAACAGAAACUGAUGUAAACUGGGGUAAAAACACUGAUAUUGAGGAGUUUGAGAUUAAAAUUAUCAAAGUGAAAAGCACUGGUUUGCUUCUUUUUGACGACAUCUUGCAACAGAUGAUUGUGCAGCAAGUCACCUUGGUAGUGAAUGUAAACUUGAUUUAUACACAGACCAUUUACACGGUGUAAGGGAAGAUCCUGGCUGGUACAGAAAGAAAUCCCAGGUUUUUGUGAAUAACCCAGCCCAGUGUAUGUGAGCUAAAGGCCAUCAGGGUGUGUGUGCUCUGGUUCGUGGGUGCCAUCUGCUGACUCGUCCUUGCACCACACAGCACUUGCUGUUGGAAGAAGGAAAGAGAAUACAUGUUAAGGAAUGGAGUUUAAAAUACGCCACCACUGGAAUAUUAAAUACAAAAUGCAUUUUUUAAUCCUUUCUUGUUUUGUGGAGUUAGAACAAUAGUGUUCACCCUAAAUGUGUUUCAGUUUCAUUUCAGCCCUGCAAAAAUAAUUUUACAGGGAAUUUUUAUUAUUAUCAGAUUUCUUUUGCAGUGUUUUUGCUUAUGGUGGACCUAGAUCUUAAUUUCCACAGUGUAUUGUGGCUCAGCACCUGAAAUAAACUUCCAGCAUUUUAUCUUCAAUAUUUUUGAAGUCUUUCCUUAUUCCAUGUGUUUAUUCCAUCUAUGGUAUCCUGUAUAUAGCUAGGAGGUCAGACUGAAAUAAUUUGUGUUGUGCUUGCUUGGUAACCUGGUAAAAUAUGUUCUGUUGUCCUUUGUGACCAUACCAGCAGCACUACCAGGUAAAGUGGUAUAAAUAGGUGACUACACCUAACUUAGUAACAAAGCUGAGAGAAGGAGCAAACUGUAGGAGAAUAGUUUAGUUAGACCCUAGAGAAGUUUAGAGCCCACUGAUUAAAUUGGAUUUAAAGGCAACUUCUUUUUUGUCUUGCUUGUCAUAGUUUUCUUUAAAACCUAAAAUAGAUUUAUUGCUUUGAGUCACUCAACUGAAUUCUGGUGAGUAUCUACUGAGAAGGAAUUCAAUCCUAAUAAAUGUGACAUAUGUAAUACCAUCGUCAUGGGCUGCUGUAAAUCAAAUCUUGUUCUGGCCAGGGCUCCAUCACUGUAAUGUGAGAUUCCAGCAAAUCCUCAGUCAUGGUGCAGCUUUGCUGUCCAUGCUGUGGAGAGGAAGCAAAACCAAAUGAUGAUUGGUCUAUUUAGGGCUUGGGUCCCAAAUUGUAUACAAGUUUAUCUUUCACUCCUGACCAGGACUGCAUUACAAUUCCACCUACUGAAGCUGGAUGUUGUGAUAAAUGGAAUCACAGAGUCAUUAAGAGGGAAAGACCUCUGUGAUCAUGGAACCCAGCCAUUAACCCAGCACUGCCACGGGCACCACUAAUCCAUGUCUCCAGAUGCUGCAUCCACCUUUCUUUUGAGCACUUCCAGGGAGGGUGAUUCCACCAAUUCCCUGGGCAGUCUUUUCCAAUGCCUGGCAACUCUUCCAGUGAAGGGUUUCCUAAUAUAGUAUCCUAUUAUAUUUUCCUAAUGUGUAAUCCAAACCUUUUCUGGAGCAAUUUGAGGCCAUUUUCACUCAUCCUGUUGCUUCUUACCCCGGAGAAGAGACCACCUGAAUACAGCCUCCUGUCAGGCACUUGUACAGAGCAAAUGUCCAGGAAAAAAUCCAGGAAUGAUUUAAGGCACUUAAGCCUGGCUGUUAUAAGGAGCUCCUCAUCAUUUUAUUUUUCAUUUUGGGGAAGUAAAGGAGGAGAAGUACUGUUGCAUUAAGAUGAUUAAAAUCUGAUCCAUGUUUAUGCAUAUUUAUUGUCUUAUUUGGCAAAGCCCUACUGAAAUAUAUAGGAUUAUUUGAAAGCAAGGUAAUGCAUACGAUGGAUAAAGUUUCAUCCUAGUUUAGAUGAAUGGGAUCAGCUUAAAUAUGUAGUAGUACAUUAUUUAAAUACAUUUACAGUGUUUUUUGAGCAAAAUGAGAAGACUGAGUACUUGUGCUUUUCAUAGCACAGCAUUGCUAAGGAGACUGUUUUUGGUAAAAAUAACUUGUUAAAAAGCUCCACUUUUAACUUUGAAUCUUCUAAUUUAAGAAUAUAUCACUUGUGCCUUCUGCACUUGACUGGUAAGGGGUGGGGAGAAGUCUUUGGUAUUCUUAUCUUUAUGGGGGAGGUGGAAUGUCCUCCAGAUAUG